rnacentral:rRNA from 2 species
UAAAGGGCUGCAGUAUAUUGACUGUACAAAGGUAGCAUAAUCAUUAGUCUUUUAAUUGAAGACUUGUAUGAAAGAUUUGAUGAAAUAUAAACUGUCUCUAAUUUAUAAAUAGAAAUUAAUUUUUUAAUUAAAAAGUUAAAAUAUUAUUAAAAGACGAGAAGACCCUAUAGAGUUUUAUAAUUUAUUUAUUUAAUUAUAAAAUAUAUAUUUAAAUUUAAUAAAUAGAUAAAUUAUUAUAUUGGGGUGAUAAAAAAAUUUAAUAAACUUUUUUUAAUUAAAUAACAUAAAUAAAUGAAAAAAUGAUCCAUUAUUAAUGAUUAAAAGAAAAAAUUACCUUAGGGAUAACAGCGUAAUAUUUUUUUUUAGUACAAAUAAAAAAAAAAGUUUGCGACCUCGAUGUUGGAUUAAGAUAAAAUUUAAAUGCAAAAGUUUAAAAGUUUUGAUCUGUUCGAUCAUUAAAAUCUUACAUGAUCUGAGCUA